rnacentral:rRNA from 1 species
AACGAACGCUGGCGGCGUGCCUAAUACAUGCAAGUUGAGCGCUGAAGGUUGGUACUUGUACCAACUGGAUGAGCAGCGAACGGGUGAGUAACGCGUGGGGAAUCUGCCUUUGAGCGGGGGACAACAUUUGGAAACGAAUGCUAAUACCGCAUAAAAACUUUAAACACAAGUUUUAAGUUUGAAAGAUGCAAUUGCAUCACUCAAAGAUGAUCCCGCGUUGUAUUAGCUAGUUGGUGAGGUAAAGGCUCACCAAGGCGAUGAUACAUAGCCGACCUGAGAGGGUGAUCGGCCACAAUGGGACUGAGACACGGCCCAAACUCCUACGGGAGGCAGCAGUAGGGAAUCUUCGGCAAUGGACGAAAGUCUGACCGAGCAACGCCGCGUGAGUGAAGAAGGUUUUCGGAUCGUAAAACUCUGUUGGUAGAGAAGAACGUUGGUGAGAGUGGAAAGCUCAUCAAGUGACGGUAACUACCCAGAAAGGGACGGCUAACUACGUG